rnacentral:rRNA from 1 species
CCGCAAGGUUAAAACUCAAAUGAAUUGACGGGGACCCGCACAAGCGGUGGAGCAUGUGGUUUAAUUCGAAGAUACGCGCAGAACCUUACCAACCCUUGACAUGUCUGUCGCGAGUUUAGGAAACUAGACUUUUCGGUUCGGCCGGACAGAACACAGGUGCUGCAUGGCUGUCGUCAGCUUGUGUCGUGAGAUGUUGGGUUAAGUCCCGCAACGAGCGCAACCCCUACUUUUAGUUGCCAUCAGGUCAUGCUGGGCACUCUGAAAGAACUGCCAGUGAUAAGCUGGAGGAAGGUGGGGAUGACGUCAAGUCCUCAUGGCCCUUACGGGUUGGGCUACACACGUGCUACAAUGGUAGUGACAAUGAGAUGCAAGGUGGCGACGCUAAGCUAAACUCAAAAAUCUACCUCAGUUCGGAUUGCACUCUGCAACUCGAGUGCAUGAAGCUGGAAUCGCUAGUAAUCGUAGAUCAGCGUGCUACGGUGAAUACGUUCCCGGGUCUUGUACACACCGCCCGUCACACCAUGGAAGUUGGUUCUACCUUAAAGCAGAUUGCUAACCGCAAGGAGGCGUUUGACCAAGGUAUAGUCAGCGACUGGGGUG